UUUCCGUAGGUGAACCUGCGGAAGGAUCAUUACUGAGUUUUGAAGUGGGCUUGAUGCUGGUGUCUUAACGAUGCAUGCGCUCAGCCCCGCUCUCAUCCACUCAACACCUGUGCACUUUCAAAGUUGUGGUCCUCCGUAAUGGGAGUCGCAGGUCUUUUUGACCUGUUGGGACUGCACUUUGCCAUUUAUCACAAACUAUAUACAUUGUCUUGUAGAAUGUCCAGCCUCAUUGUGGGCGAAACUUAAUACAACUUUCAACAACGGAUCUCUUGGCUCUCGCAUCGAUGAAGAACGCGC
rnacentral:misc_RNA from 1 species